rnacentral:rRNA from 1 species
GAGCGAAUCAAUAGGAGCUUGCUCCUGUUGAUUAGCGGCGGACGGGUGAGUAACACGUGGGCAACCUGCCUGUAAGACUGGGAUAACACCGGGAAACCGGUGCUAAUACCGGAUAAUCUUUUUCCUCACAUGAGGGAAAACUGAAAGACGGUUUCGGCUGUCACUUACAGAUGGGCCCGCGGCGCAUUAGCUAGUUGGUGAGGUAACGGCUCACCAAGGCGACGAUGCGUAGCCGACCUGAGAGGGUGAUCGGCCACACUGGGACUGAGACACGGCCCAGACUCCUACGGGAGGCAGCAGUAGGGAAUCUUCCGCAAUGGACGAAAGUCUGACGGAGCAACGCCGCGUGAGCGAUGAAGGCCUUCGGGUCGUAAAGCUCUGUUGUUAGGGAAGAACAAGUACCGGAGUAACUGCCGGUACCUUGACGGUACCUAACCAGAAAGCCACGGCUAACUACGUGCCAGCAGCCGCGGUAAU